rnacentral:rRNA from 1 species
ACGAACGCUGGCGGCGUGCUUAACACAUGCAAGUCGAACGGAAAGGCCCUGCUUUUGUGGGGUGCUCGAGUGGCGAACGGGUGAGUAACACGUGAGUAACCUGCCCUUGACUUGGGGAUAACUUCAGGAAACUGGGGCUAAUACCGGAUAGGAGCUCCUGCUGCAUGGUGGGGGUUGGAAAGUUUCGGCGGUUGGGGAUGGACUCGCGGCUUAUCAGCUUGUUGGUGGGGUAGUGGCUUACCAAGGCUUUGACGGGUAGCCGGCCUGAGAGGGUGACCGGCCACAUUGGGACUGAGAUACGGCCCAGACUCCUACGGGAGGCAGCAGUGGGGAAUAUUGCACAAUGGGCGGAAGCCUGAUGCAGCAACGCCGCGUGCGGGAUGACGGCCUUCGGGUUGUAAACCGCUUUCGCCUGUGACGAAGCGUGAGUGACGGUAAUGGGUAAAGAAGCACCGGCUAACUACGUG